GCGUUUAGCUCAGCUGGUUUAGAGCAUCUGCCUUACAAGCAGAGGGUCGGCGGUUCGAAUCCGUCAGCG
rnacentral:tRNA from 1 species